rnacentral:rRNA from 1 species
GACGAACGCUGGCGGCGUGCUUAACACAUGCAAGUCGAACGGAAAGGCCCUGCUUUUGUGGGGUGCUCGAGUGGCGAACGGGUGAGUAACACGUGAGUAACCUGCCCUUGACUUUGGGAUAACUUCAGGAAACUGGGGCUAAUACCGGAUAGGAGCUCCUGCUGCAUGGUGGGGGUUGGAAAGUUUCGGCGGUUGGGGAUGGACUCGCGGCUUAUCAGCUUGUUGGUGGGGUAGUGGCUUACCAAGGCUUUGACGGGUAGCCGGCCUGAGAGGGUGACCGGCCACAUUGGGACUGAGAUACGGCCCAGACUCCUACGGGAGGCAGCAGUGCGGAAGAGUGCACAAUGGGCGGAAGCCUGAUGCAGCAACGCCGCGUGCGGGAUGACGGCCUUCGGGUUGUAAACCGCUUUCGCCUGUGACGAAGCGUGAGUGACGGUAAUGGGUAAAGAAGCACCGGCUAACUACGUG